GGAAAAUGCCAUAUCUCAAUUGGGAGAGGUUGAGGAAGAAUAGGGUCAAAGCCGAAGUUCGACAUGGAGAUAUUAUCUCAUUUGGGCUUUGAGGAGUACUUAAAUUUGAUUCUGAAUGAUGCUGGAAAAGUCAACAUCAAGAGGAAGAGAAAAAAACUUUACGUGGGUUCAUUUUCUCAAUUUCCUUUACUUUUAAUCUCCCAAAUGUGCAUACUCUGAAUGUGGUACAUCUAUUUUGUUAUGGGUCAAUUAAAUCAAAAAAAAUGUAAAGGGUAGAUUCUUCUUAAGAGAUGCAACAUAACAACCACCUCUCUCUCUCUCUCUCUCUCUCUCUCUCUCAAUAGUGGAAAGUGAUGAUUUUAGCAAUUGUUUAAAUUGGCAUUAUAUUUCCUUUUCAAUCCCAUUGAGGUCUAGCGUCUUUGUUUACUAGCAAUGUUAGAAUUUAGAUACAUCUUGGAUCAAGAAUGAUUAAUGUAAUUAUGAAAGAUAUUUUAUUGAAUGAGUAUGGAAUUAACUAUAUUUGUGUAA